UACGGAGGAUCCGAGCGUUAUCCGGAUUUAUUGGGUUUAAAGGGUGCGCAGGCGGGAGAUUAAGUCGGCGGUGAAAUUUUGCAGCUCAACUGUAAAAGUGCCUUCGAAACUGGUUUCCUUGAGUGUAGAUGAAGUAGGCGGAAUUUGUGGUGUAGCGGUGAAAUGCAUAGAUAUCACGAGGAACUCCGAUUGCGCAGGCAGCUUACUAAACUACUACUGACGCUCAGGCACGAAGGCGUGGGGAUCAAACAGGAUUAGAUACCCCUGUAGUCCCU
rnacentral:rRNA from 1 species